rnacentral:rRNA from 1 species
UACGUAGGGUGCAAGCGUUGUCCGGAAUUAUUGGGCGUAAAGAGCUCGUAGGCGGUCUGUCGCGUCGGCUGUGAAAACCUGAGGCUCAACCUCAGGCCUGCAGUCGAUACGGGCAGACUAGAGUUCGGUAGGGGAGACUGGAAUUCCUGGUGUAGCGGUGAAAUGCGCAGAUAUCAGGAGGAACACCGGUGGCGAAGGCGGGUCUCUGGGCCGAUACUGACGCUGAGGAGCGAAAGCGUGGGGAGCGAACAGG